GAUGAACGCUGGCGGCGUGCUUAACACAUGCAAGUCGAACGGUGAAACAGGAGCUUGCUCCUGCGGAUCAGUGGCGAACGGGUGAGUAACACGUGAGUAACCUGCCCUUGACUCUGGGAUAAGCGUUGGAAACGACGUCUAAUACCGGAUACGAGCUUCAGUCGCAUGACUAGGAGCUGGAAAGAACUUCGGUCAAGGAU
rnacentral:rRNA from 1 species